ACUCUCUGCUGCCGCCGCAGCAGCAGCAGCAGCUCCCGUCGCUCUUCAGGUCACUCGGAGCAUCACCAUCCUCCGGGGCAGCGCCUCCGCCGCACCGCCCUCACCGUCGUCUUCUGCCGCCUCGUCGCCUCGGGGCCCGUGGAGCGCCCUUGAUUCCCCUCUUUCCCGUGAGUCUGCCGCCUAACCCUGUGGGGCAAGGAGAAUUCCGAAAAAGAUCGUCUUUUUAUUACCUGUUUGUUUCCUCCUGCAGCUCCGACGCCGAGGGGAGACUGGAAGAGGCUCCGGAGGAAGCCGACGCCGGUGGCCGAGGGGGUGGAGACUGCCGAGCC
rnacentral:lncRNA from 1 species